GGGUAGCGGAGAAAUUCCAAUCGAACCUGGAGAUAGCUGGUUCUCUCCGAAAUAGCUUUAGGGCUAGCCUCAAGUGAUGAUUAUUGGAGGUAGAGCACUGUUUGGACGAGGGGCCCCUCUCGGGUUACCGAAUUCAGACAAACUCCGAAUGCCAAUUAAUUUAACUUGGGAGUCAGAACAUGGGUGAUAAGGUCCGUGUUCGAAAGGGAAACAGCCCAGACCACCAGCUAAGGUCCCAAAAUAUAUGUUAAGUGGAAAAGGAUGUGGCGUUGCCCAGACAACUAGGAUGUUGGCUUAGAAGCAGCCAUCAUUUAAAGAGUGCGUAAUAGCUCACUAGUCGAGUGACACUGCGCCGAAAAUGUACCGGGGCUAAACAUAUUACCGAAGCUGUGGAUUGUCCUUUGGACAAUGGUAGGAGAGCGUUCUAAGGGCGUUGAAGCAUGAUCGUAAGGACAUGUGGAGCGCUUAGAAGUGAGAAUGCCGGUGUGAGUAGCGAAAGACGGGUGAGAAUCCCGUCCACCGAUUGACUAAGGUUUCCAGAGGAAGGCUCGUCCGCUCUGGGUUAGUCGGGUCCUAAGCUGAGGCCGACAGGCGUAGGCGAUGGAUAACAGGUUGAUAUUCCUGUACCACCUAUAAUCGUUUUAAUCGAUGGGGGGACGCAGUAGGAUAGGCGAAGCGUGCGAUUGGAUUGCACGUCUAAGCAGUAAGGCUGAGUAUUAGGCAAAUCCGGUACUCAUUAAGGCUGAGCUGUGAUGGGGAGAAGACAUUGUGUCUUCGAGUCGUUGAUUUCACACUGCCGAGAAAAGCCUCUAGAUAGAAAAUAGGUGCCCGUACCGCAAACCGACACAGGUAGUCAAGAUGAGAAUUCUAAGGUGAGCGAGCGAACUCUCGUUAAGGAACUCGGCAAAAUGACCCCGUAACUUCGGGAGAAGGGGUGCUCUUUAGGGUUAACGCCCAGAAGAGCCGCAGUGAAUAGGCCCAAGCGACUGUUUAUCAAAAACACAGGUCUCUGCUAAACCGUAAGGUGAUGUAUAGGGGCUGACGCCUGCCCGGUGCUGGAAGGUUAAGAGGAGUGGUUAGCUUCUGCGAAGCUACGAAUCGAAGCCCCAGUAAACGGCGGCCGUAACUAUAACGGUCCUAAGGUAGCGAAAUUCCUUGUCGGGUAAGUUCCGACCCGCACGAAAGGCGUAACGAUUUGGGCACUGUCUCAACGAGAGACUCGGUGAAAUCAUAGUACCUGUGAAGAUGCAGGUUACCCGCGACAGGACGGAAAGACCCCGUGGAGCUUUACUGUAGCCUGAUAUUGAAAUUCGGCACAGCUUGUACAGGAUAGGUAGGAGCCUUUGAAACGUGAGCGCUAGCUUACGUGGAGGCGCUGGUGGGAUACUACCCUAGCUGUGUUGGCUUUCUAACCCGCACCACUUAUCGUGGUGGGAGACAGUGUCAGGCGGGCAGUUUGACUGGGGCGGUCGCCUCCUAAAAGGUAACGGAGGCGCUCAAAGGUUCCCUCAGAAUGGUUGGAAAUCAUUCAUAGAGUGUAAAGGCAUAAGGGAGCUUGACUGCGAGACCUACAAGUCGAGCAGGGUCGAAAGACGGACUUAGUGAUCCGGUGGUUCCGCAUGGAAGGGCCAUCGCUCAACGGAUAAAAGCUACCCCGGGGAUAACAGGCUUAUCUCCCCCAAGAGUUCACAUCGACGGGGAGGUUUGGCACCUCGAUGUCGGCUCAUCGCAUCCUGGGGCUGUAGUCGGUCCCAAGGGUUGGGCUGUUCGCCCAUUAAAGCGGUACGCGAGCUGGGUUCAGAACGUCGUGAGACAGUUCGGUCCCUAUCCGUCGUGGGCGUAGGAAAUUUGAGAGGAGCUGUCCUUAGUACGAGAGGACCGGGAUGGACAUACCUCUGGUGUACCAGUUGUCGUGCCAACGGCAUAGCUGGGUAGCUAUGUGUGGACGGGAUAAGUGCUGAAAGCAUCUAAGCAUGAAGCCCCCCUCAAGAUGAGAUUUCCCAACUUCGGUUAUAAGAUCCCUCAAAGAUGAUGAGGUUAAUAGGUUCGAGGUGGAAGCAUGGUGACAUGUGGAGCU
rnacentral:rRNA from 1 species